GCUAUCGUAGCUCACUGGUAGAGCAACUUGACUUGGGGUCAAGAUCGAGCGGGUUCGAUUCCCGCCGGUAAAACACCA
rnacentral:tRNA from 1 species